UACAGAGGUGCUCAAGCGUUGUUCGGAUUCAUUGGGCGUAAAGGGUGUGUAGGUGGCGUCCGUAAGUCGGGUGUGAAAUUUCCGGAGCUUAACUCCGAAACUGCAUUCGAUACUGACGGUGCUUGAGGACUGGGAGAGGAGACUGGAAUUCAUGGUGUAGCAGUGAAAUGCGUAGAGAUCAUGAGGAAGACCAGUGGCGAAGGCGGGUCUCUGGACAGUUCCUGACACUGAGACACGAAGGCCAGGGGAGCAAACGGG
rnacentral:rRNA from 1 species